AUUUGGUGGACUUUGGUGGACCUUGUACCUCUCGCUGCAGGUCUUGGAUAUUCUCCUCUGAGGCCUGUGUGUGUGCUGUGACCGCUUGUAUUUCAGUCUGGAGUAGGUUGAGGUCUGCUGCAUGCAGUUGCCUCAGUUCCUACAGCAGGUCAGCGAUGUCCUUUUUGGUGGCCGGCUUUGCUUGUCUCGGCCCGCUGGUGAUAUCACAGUCGGCUGUGC